GAUUCGGGGACGGUCUGAGCCUGAACUCUUUUAGAGCCAACAUUGGACACCCCAACAUUUCUGGCGUUCUUCACUUUGACCCUCUCCAACUCAAGGAUGCUUGUGUGAAGACUGGUGGCUUAAUAAGGAAGAAUUCUCAGUCAGUUUGGCUAUCCCGACAUCCCUUCUCCACAUCUAGGGACUCUGUUAGACUGUCUUUAGCACAAUUGGAAAAUACUAGGUUUCCAAGAACUGAAAAAGUAGCUCCUAAUAUUCCUUUGCUAUGGCCUGGUCUCAAUAUAACCUAGAGAACCAAAAAAAAAAAAAGUGAUCAUUUUGAGGUCUCUCAACUGUAACACUAUUCUGCAACUUGAUCUCUUUUGCAAAGAAAAAUGGACUGAAGUCCCAUCUUUUCACUUAAUGACAGCAAUGAAGAAUGUUUUUGUCAAGAUUUAAAUCAAAAAAAGGGGAGAGGUAAAAAUCAGACCUUUUAAAUGACCCUCUCCUCUAUGCUGCUGAAGUCUCAGAGGCUGGGUUCCCCAUUUGCAAACAAAUGCGGAGCAUGAUAAAGGGAGGAUUACUAGGAUUCAUGUUCCCUUUUCCAUGUCAGAUCUCCCCCAGUAAAAGAAAAACUCAGCAGCUACUCAGAAGAUCCCACCAAAUUUAUUGAGGGUUUUAAAGCCAUUGCUUUCCAAUUUGACCCAACUUAGGAGGACAUUAGUAUUAUUGUUUCCUCUUGCUGCCCUGUAGAAGAAAAGAGGAGAAUUUGGGGCCUAGCCCAGAGAUUUGGGGAUGACUUGACUGUGACCUCCCAAACCAGAAGGUGUUCUCUUGGGGCAAGUGCAGUCUCUUGUCUCUUACACUGGCUGGGACUGAGGGAAGUCCAGUCAGAGUUAAGAAAGACCACAAGUUGUCAUACCUUAUCUUUGGCAUGAAAAGGGACAUUGAGAAACAGAUAAACUAGAAGACUCGAGGGGAUUACUCAGGGAUCCUAGGAAAACCUUGCCAUCUUUCUGGGUUAGUUGAGGCACUCAAGAAAUAUACUGACUUGGAUCCCGCUUUCCCCAUAGGAGAUGUGAUUCUUGGCAUUCAUUUUAUCAGCCAAUCUCCUCCCUUCCACCCCCAUAUUCGGAGAAAGUUACCGAAGUUAACCAUGGGUCUCCAGACUCCUCAAGCUAAGCUUUUAAGAGACCUAUUUCAGGGUAUUUAUCAAUAGAAACCUAGGAAAAGGACUGCAAGGCUAGAGUCUUUAACAGAGAAUUUGCUGGAAUUUUAUCUGAUUACAUGUCUAGUGCCAAAAAGGGUCCUGCCCUCCAGAAUCCCUGGAAUACUUCUGUGGGCCCAUCAAGAUUGCUCUUCUGGAAGAAAAUAUCUGUAGAGACUUUGAAUGGACAUUUUUGCAACCCCAUAUGGAGUCUAAACUCACAAUUUGAGGCUUUGCCUUAAAGGAACUCGCCCCUCACAAGGGCCCUUUUAUAUUGGAGGACCCAGAAUAAAGUAUGGUAACUAUA